GCUUACGGCCAUACCACCUUGUCUGCGCCCGAUGUCGUCUGAACUCGGUAGCUAAGCAGGGUUGGGCCUUGUUAGUACUUUGAAGGGAGACCGCCUGGGAAUACCAGG
rnacentral:rRNA from 1 species